CCUGGUAGCUCAGAUGGUAAAGCGUCUGCCUACAAUGUGGGAGACCCAGGUUCAAUCCCUGGGUCAGGA
rfam:TPA: Bos taurus chromosome X, whole genome shotgun sequence.